AGUGAACGCUGGCGGUAGGCCUAACACAUGCAAGUCGAACGGCAGCACAGUAAGAGCUUGCUCUUACGGGUGGCGAGUGGCGGACGGGUGAGGAAUACAUCGGAAUCUACUUUUUUGUGGGGGAUAACGUAGGGAAGCUUACGCUAAUACCGCAUACGACCUACGGGUGAAAGCAGGGGAUCUUCGGACCUUGCGCGAUUGAAUGAGCCGAUGUCGGAUUAGCUAGUUGGCGGGGUAAAGGCCCACCAAGGCGACGAUCCGUAGCUGGUCUGAGAGGAUGAUCAGCCACACUGGAACUGAGACACGGUCCAGACUCCUACGGGAGGCAGCAGUGGGGAAUAUUGGACAAUGGGCGCAAGCCUGAUCCAGCCAUACCGCGUGGGUGAAGAAGGCCUUCGGGUUGUAAAGCCCUUUUGUUGGGAAAGAAAAGCAGCAGGUUAAUACCCCGCUGUUCUGACGGUACCCAAAGAAUAAGCACCGGCUAACUUCGUG
rnacentral:rRNA from 1 species